rnacentral:rRNA from 1 species
AUUGAACGCUGGCGGCAGGCUUAACACAUGCAAGUCGAGCGGUAACAGAGAGAAGCUUGCUUCUCUGCUGACGAGCGGUGGACGGGUGAGUGAUGCCUAGGAAUCUGCCUAGUAGUGGGGGAUAACUUGCCGAAAGGUAAGCUAAUACCGCAUACGUCCUACGGGAGAAAGGAGGGGACCUUCGGGCCUUUCGCUAUUAGAUGAGCCUAGGUCGGAUUAGUUAGUUGGUGAGGUAAUGGCUCACCAAGACCGCGAUCCGUAACUGGUCUGAGAGGAUGAUCAGUCACACUGGAACUGAGACACGGUCCUGACUCCUACGGGAGGCAGCAGUGGGGAAUAUUGGACAAUGGGGGGAACCCUGAUCCAGCCAUGCCGCGUGUGUGAAGAAGGUCUUAGGAUUGUAAAGCACUUUAAGUUGGGAGGAAGAGCAGUUAACUAAUAUUUGACUGUUUUGACGUUACCGACAGAAUAAGCACCGGCUAACUUCGUGCCAGCAGCCGCCGUAA